UACAGAAGGGGCAAGCGUUAUUCGGAAUUAUUGGGCGUAAAGGGCGCGUAGGCGGCGAUUCAAGUCAGAGGUGAAAGCCCGGGGCUCAACCCCGGAACUGCCUUUGAAACUAGAUCGCUAGAAUCUUGGAGAGGUCAGUGGAAUUCCGAGUGUAGAGGGUGAAAUUCGUAGAUAUUCGGAAGAACACCAGUGGCGAAGGCGACUGACUGGACAAGUAUUGACGCUGAGGUGCGAAAGCGUGGGGAGCAAACAGG
rnacentral:rRNA from 1 species